rnacentral:tRNA from 1 species
UAAGACGUAGUAUAUAAUUAUAUCUCAUUUACACUGAGGAGAAGGUAAGUUUAUUUGCCCGUUUUAA